GUCUUUUUGAUAAUAAUAUAAAGUCUGACCUGCCCUAUGAUUUUAAAAUUAAAUGGCCGCGAUAUUUUGAUCGUGCAAAGGUAGCAUAAUCAUUAGUUUCUUAAUUAGGAACUGGAAUGAAAGGUUGAACGAGAAAAAAACUGUCUCAAUUUAAUUUAAUUAGAAUUUUAUUUUUGAGUAAAAAAGCUUAAAUAAUUUUAAAAGACGAGAAGACCCUAUAGAGUUUAAUAUUUAAUAAAUUUUAAAAAAUAUAUAGUAUAUAAUUUUUUAUUUUUUAUAGAAUAUUUAGUUGGGGUGACUAUAAAAUUGAAUAAACUUUUUUUAAUUUUAAACAUUGAUAUAUGAAUAAUUGAUCCAUAAAUUAUGAUUAAAAGAUUAAAUUACCUUAGGGAUAACAGCGUUAUUUUUUUUAAGAGUUCAUAUCGAAAAAAAAGUUUGCGACCUCGAUGUUGGAUUAAAAUUUACGUUUGGUGUAGGUGCUAAAUAGUUAGGUCUGUUCGACCUUUAAAAUUUUACA
rnacentral:rRNA from 1 species